GAUUUGUUCUUGAUUCUUGGAGAAGAUUUUGAGUUGCGAGUCAAGGAGUAUACUGAUUCAGACUUAAUGUCUGAUCCUGAUGAUAGAAUAUCUGCAUCAGGAAGUAUUCUUGUUUGAUAUACUGGAAGGGUUCUAAUUAAUCGAUCAAUGAAAGCUGACUAUGCUGUAGAUGUGUAGCAUGAAUUCUGAUUCUGAUGUUAGUUGUAGAACUAGAUAUCAUGCCAUGACACAGUACUACAAAGACAAUGGCACCAUAGCACUUGUUAAAGAGUCAAGAUCUCACAAAAAUCCAAACACAUAGAGCAGCGGUAUACGCGACUAUCUUGAAAAGAAUCAUAUCGA
rnacentral:lncRNA from 1 species